UCUUCCUACGGGACGCAGCAGUGGGGAAUAUUGCACAAUGGGGGGAACCCUGAUGCAGCGACGCCGCGUGGGUGAAGGAGCACCUCGGUGCGUAAAGCCCUAUCGGCAGGGAAGAAAGGCGGGCGGGGCCCGUCUGGACGGUACCUGACUAAGAAGCCCCGGCUAGCUACGUGCCAGCAGCCGCGGUAAUACGUAGGGGGCAAGCGGUAUCCGGAUUCACUGGGGGGAAAGGGGGCGGUGACGGCG
rnacentral:rRNA from 1 species